GCGGACCCGCCUGGGCGUGCUCCUCCCGCCGGCUCCAGGCGUCCCACCGCCCUGCCCGGCGCCAGCCCGCGGUCCCAGCCACUCCUGAGGGUGCGCCGGGCACCCAGCGCGUAGGCUCACCCUUGGUGGUCGCUGCGGAAGUCUGGACCGCCGAGGCGUGUGGCUUGUCUACCGGCAGGUGUUCUUUUGAUCACAAUGGAUAGUGACUCUUCUCUUCUGCCUGAGAGUGGUUCAAAAUAGUGAAGGAUGAGUUUGGACUUCUCAAUUUGUGUCCAGAACAAGGAUGGAGAGGCUCAGCAGCACCAACAGGUCAGCAGGACUCCCUCAUGGAAUGGGAGCACAUCCAGGCUGAAGGCCCCUGUGUUCCAGGUGCUGUGUGGGUGCUGACGUGCCAGGUGACUCCAUGAUGGCUUCCAUCCUCAGGGUCACCAUCAACUAAGACAGACUGAAGAUGUAAAUAGUAAUGGAAGGACAUGAAAGGUACAAGAGUCAGAGGCCAGGCCAAGAGCGCAAGCUGAGCAAGGGGCAAGGAAGGUUCCCUUGAUGGCUGGGUCCAGAACCGGGACUGCAGAAAGAGGAGUUUUCUGGACAGAAAGGGGUGUGGGCCUUCCAGUCAGGUUCAGAUCCACAGAAGCAUGCACACGUGGUAUGCUAGGGGCACCACCGUGCCAUCAGGGAGGGGCAUGCUGGAAAAGAGGCUGCAGAAUCUGGGACUCACUCUAUCCUGGGGCAAUGGGGAGUUUAGGAGAGGGUGAGUCAGAUCAGUGUGGUGUUUGCCUAGAGUCAGGAAGAUGAGUUAAGAGGUCUGUUGAAGUAAAAUUAUUCAUUACAGAAUAGCACCGUGUAUGUUUCUAAAAUACUUGGUGCCAUAUUUAUUCUCCUGAGCACUUAGAAAAGAAUAACUGGGCCCUUGAGUCUUGGUUGCAAUCAUUCAUUCAUCCAACCAGUAUUCAUCAAGCGUCUCCCACAUGGCCAAUGCUGGGGACCCAGUGGUGAAGCUGGAGACGACUUCACUCUCACGCCAUGAGAAGUGCUUUAAAGGAAGAGGACCAGAUACCUGUAGAGCAUGUUACAGAGGAGUCAGGUCUGGUCUGGGGUUGGAGGUCCAGGAAGUGACUGGAGUUGAAGCUUGAAGGAGUUGGUAUUCAACAUGCAAAACUGGGAAAGAGGCAUUCAAAGGAAGUAGCUCGUGUGAGGGCCCUGGGGUGGGAGGGAGCAUGGUUCAUUUGAGAAGUUAAGAAAGCACAGAGAGUAAGGAGGAGAACAGGGAGGGUUAGGGGAGGAGGGGGUAGGGCCUGUGCCAGGCUGGCCCUGCCCUUUAAGGUGCCAAGUCCUUGCAAGCAUUUGAAGUUAAAACAUGAUGGCCAUUUGUUGAUGAUUUCUUGAUCUCUCUGUUUCCCCUUAGGCACUGGUGGAUUCUCGACAGAACCACAAAGUGGAGUUGGCUACAGAUGAGUCUGUUCAUGGCCUCAGCUUCCCACCUAUUCCUGAGUCACCUUUUGCCCCUCAGACAGAGAUGGGAUAGCGCCAGGAUGUGGGUUUGUGUUAUCUAAUUUCUUGGAGUUUGUACAGGUUUUACCUGGUACCAGCGUGACCUUCCCAUGUACCCUCUUGGUCAGCAACUCACAGUCUGCUUGCUUUAUUUUAUAAGGAGUUAAUCCCACUUUCUGGAACUUGCUCAUUCUCAAAGUGAGUGGUUGUUAGCCCUCAAGACAGUCCGCAGAAAUUUCAGCCCCAUGGGAAAGAAAAAAAUGCAGGUCUCUACCUGAUGCUUGGAAAGCCAGCCAUGUUAACUUUGUCAACACCAAUGCUCAUCAAAUAUGCACAUUUAUCUAGUGUUCCCAACCUAGAUUCCCAGCCUGGGAUUCUGUGGGCCAGAGGCCCCAGGGUAGAGAUUAUAGCCUAACAUCCCAGCCGAGAAUCUUUGAUUGCAGAUAGGAAAAAUUCAGACAUUUCUGAACUCCAAGACCACAGUGAUUUACAUGGCUUGGUGAUAAGCUAUUACUGAUAAAUUACUCGAAGUUUCUGCUUCCCCCAACUCUGGCAAGAACUUUGGCAGAACUUCUACGCCAUAUCCAGUACUAGGAACUUGCCAAGUUUAUGUCCUUAAAAUAAAGUGGGUUCCAAGAUAGAUGGCAGAAAGUGGGAAAUGUGAUUUUUCUUGAUUGGGUAACUAAGAACCACACAGCAGGCGGGAGCCAUUUUGGGCCAAAGAGCUGUUCAUUUAAAGUGUUUAUUGACACCUGGAAAUAGGGAUUAAACUUCAAAUGCUAUUUUCACAUCAAGUUUAUGCUCUAUAAUUUCAUAAUGGUGAUAAAAUCCAGGCAGCUACCAAAAGGAGAGCUCCCAAGUGAUCUUACUACUGGGUCUCCCUAGUACAGACAUUCAGGAUCCUGGACCAGCUGAAGCCAGGGAAGGAAGCACCCCGGCGGGUCACCGGCUGAUGGAAAGGAGGCGCCGUGAUGGUUAAGUGUUUCCAUGUUGGCUACCUGAUUUCAGACGGUCUCAGCUUUGGUUGGUUUGUAUGACUGCCUCAAAUUCUCAGUGGUCACCCUUAUUUUUUAUUUGGAAUGUGUUCCCCACUCUGUAGAGGACUGAGUCAGGGAGAUGGCUGUGCAUCCUUGAAGGGUUCCAUUUUGACCCUGAUCAUCCUCAGUAGACAUGGGUGCUACUCCAAGCGUGGCCUUGGAGGUUUGGGGACCGUGGACAGCAUACAAAUCGAGAGGUGAGGGACAGCCGAGGGAAAGAAACUACUCAGAAUAUGCGGUAAGAACCAUGUCUGGUUUCUGUUUGGCAACACAAUAAUGGGAUUCCUUGCAUUUCUCCCAGAAAAGCAUCGGUGGGGAAAAAACUGUUGUGGGAGGUGCAGUGAUCAUCAAAUACUAUGAAGGCCCAUCAUUGGACAUACUCAAGCUGUGGAGAGCUGUGUUUUCCCAGAGAAAUACCAAUGCACAGGUAAGUUUGUAUUCAGGACCCAGGACUCCUUGGAGCCAUGGAUACCCACCCAUGACCCCUAUGGGAUGGGGAAAUUCACAAAAGGCACAACAAAAAAAGUCUUUCAGGUGGGGCUGGGGAGGGCAGUGAAAUGUUGGCUUAUGCUUGCUUCCCGGUUCUCACUUCUGGCUGUUCUCUGUCCUCUCUCCACCUCGUCCUCCAGCAGCAGCAGCACAGAGCCAUCUCUGCGCCCAUCGGCCUGCCCCAGAGACCUCCCCAGCAUGGUGUGGUGGGGCAGCUGGUGUUGUGAAUCAGGCCGUUGCCAAUCAGAGAACGGCUACUUCACAACACCAGGGCCGCACCACACUACAGGCAGCAUUCCGGCUCCAGAAUCCACAAGGGCGCCCUCUGGCGAGGCAGCCACACCCACCGCAGAGGACCGUCAGCUCCAGAACCCAGGCAGUUCUGGGCUGGCUGCUGCAGCUCCCCUGCAGACACUGGCCUCCUGAGGCUGCUGUUUAUCCCCCAACACAAAUGCUCUGCUUUUAAAGAAAAAGACACUCCUGGUAACAUUAGCUUCCUACAGAGAAAAUGAUGCGACCAGGCUUCCCACUGUGAAAAUGAAGUUAUGGGCCAUCAGGAGGGUUAAGCGCCACUCAGCUGAACAUUUCCUCCUAGGUGCCAAAACACCUCCUAGGUGCAGAGCUGGGACCGUUGUUUUGAUACUUGGUGAUGGUAGCUUUGAAUAGGGCAAAGUAGAGGAAAGGGAGGACCUAGUAAUAGGACAGUGGCCUCCUGGAGAGAGGAAGGCUCUUUGUAGCCACAUAUACAGGUAAUGCAUCUUCUUCCUAGAUGAUCCCAGGGUCCCUGGAGAGCAAACACCUUUCUUGGCUGGGGAGAGUUCCACAGCUCUCCAUCAGCACAUAUCCCAGUGACCUGAGUGCUGGAUAAGAACCAAGCACGGGAUUGUUCCUAGGGCACUGAUCUGCCAGAUACUCCAUCAAAGGUAAUACCUGCCAUUCAUUACCUGUGCUGACAGAUGGGCUUCCUUUCCCCAGGUCCGUACAGCCAUGGACCCAGCAGAGCUGGAAAACUAAUGGAGGUCUCUAGAGUUGGAGUAGUAUUUCGUGCCUAACUUAAAUCUUAUAUGUGACAUCACCAUUUUUCAGAGCCCAAGCAGGAGUUUUCAAGAUAGAGUGGCUGGGUUGGCUAGUGUCCUUUCCAAAACACUAAUAAAAAGGAGGAUGUUCCUCUCUCUAGCUUUUUAUAGGACAAAGAUCAAGAGCCACUCUGAUUAACUCAGGCCCAGUCUAUAGUCUGUUUGUAUAGGGAUCUUGCUGCUCUGAAAACCAGAGAGAUGGAUAAAAACAAGCACCAUGCAAACCUUGCAUAGCACCCAGGUUACAUAGAGCCUGAGUUAACCAGAGCCACCUGCAUCUGUAUCACCUUAGACUUCUGGAAGGUGAGUCUACUUCUGUAAAGUUCUAUCCCUCACCCCCAUCCCUAUAUCGUUAACAGCAUCUCUGAAAUUUGUACUAAAUUAUGUUUAGGGACAAAUAUCUUCAAAGCAAAAUAGUCCCAGUUUUCAGAAAGGGCUUCUUGCCGUCUCCUUCAUCCAGUUACCAACUCGUCUACCACCAGCGGAGUCCAAGCCAGAGCCACUCACGGUGUGGUCCAUGGGCGGCAGCUUCAGCAUGUUGGAAAAGCAGGAUCCCAAGGGCCACCAUGCACCUGCUCCAUCAGAAUCUCCAGUGGCCAACUCGGGGAACAUAGCAAGACUAAUCUCUACAAAAAAUGUUUUUAAAAAUUAGACGGGGGUGUGGUGGCACACACCU